rnacentral:SRP_RNA from 1 species
AUGCGGGUCCUGUGCGACAGUGCACCGUGAACCAUGUCAGGCGGGGAACCGAGCAGCAUUAAGCGGUCAGCAGUGUGUGCCCCAGGCAAAUCUGUGUAUC